rnacentral:rRNA from 1 species
AUUGAACGCUGGCGGCAUGCCUUACACAUGCAAGUCGAACGGCAGCGGGGGAGAAGCUUGCUUUUCCUGCCGGCGAGUGGCGAACGGGUGAGUAAUACAUCGGAACGUGCCCUGUAGUGGGGGAUAACUAGUCGAAAGAUUAGCUGAUACCGCAUACGACCAGAGGGUGAACGUGGGGGACCGCAAGGCCUCAUGCUAUAGGAGCGGCCGAUGUCUGAUUAGCUAGUUGGUGGGGUAAAGGCCUACCAAGGCGACGAUCAGUAGCUGGUCUGAGAGGACGAUCAGCCACACUGGGACCGAGACACGGCCCAGACUCCUACGGGAGGCAGCAGUGGGGAAUUUUGGACAAUGGGCGAAAGCCUGAUCCAGCAAUGCCGCGUGUGUGAAGAAGGCCUUCGGGUUGUAAAGCACUUUUGUCCGGAAAGAAAUGGCUCUGGUUAAUACCUGGGGUCGAUGACGGUACCGGAAGAAUAAGGACCGGCUAACUACGUGCCAGCCGCCGCAGUAA